UUUCUUAUGACCCUGUAGAACAAGGCCAGUCAUGACUGUCAUUGACUGUAUACUUUUAGCAUUAGAGCAUGACAUCAUUCUGUUUAUUUCAAAACUAACAGAUGUCAUGCCAUUUCUUUGAAAUUACAACCAAUUCUCCCAGAAUGCUCAUUCAUUCUAUUUUCGAAUUUUGGUUAGCUCAUUUCUAAAUUUUUAAAUCUCCUGAGCAAAUGCCUCCCCAGAAGCAAUAAAAUUCUACGUUUCGACAAAUAAAUUGAGUUUACUUUUUAGUCCGUAGUUGAUUAACCUUUUGCAUUUUAUUUGCCCAGCAAAAGGAAAUAUUGUUUGUUAUCCAAAAAGUAGGACAGUAAUGUUUACGUUUAAAAAAAUUAUAUUAAGUGGAACAAUUGAUAACUUACUAUUUAGAAGUGUUCAGUCUUAGAUUUUUGCAAAAAAUCUCAUUUUAACACAGCAUUUUUCCCUUCUAGAGGAAAUAUACUUUAUCUAAUCUCUAUUUCUUUGUAAUUUAACACAGUUCCACUAGGCUUGGCUUCAAACUUCCACUUCCAUCCUGGAAACGAUUUUAAAAUUGCCCAGAUAUUUUAUUCCAAGUAAAAGAAAUUAAAGAUUUCUUGGCUUAUCAAAUUAUUAACUGCAGAUAACUCAGGUUUGUUAUUUAAUCUUUUAAGUCUCCGAGUAUAAGAUUUCACUAUCCGGCAAACAAUUAUGUUGUCCAGUAACCAGAUAGCUGCCUAGAAACACCCGGAUAGGUGUAUUGUUUUCAGACGGUGCCACAUUACAAGUACUAUUAAGUCAAAAAGUACACUACAAAUGCUUCCACGCCCGUACAGAGCAAUGGUCAUUAAGAAGCCGUAGACAAAUUUAUAGUUUUGUAAACAUCCCUGUAGACUGGAGGCAGGCUGUAGAUGUGACAGGGUUUACCGGCUGUUACAGUAAGGCAUCAGAUUCAAUCUAAUUUUUUAUUAUUAUUAUUGUUGGGCGGUCGUUAAGUCGAAUGCACUCUUUACUCUCUAAAAAACAUCCAUUAAGUCGACAGGGGGAAAAAUUUAAAAAUGAGAUCCUUUCUAUAAUUCUGCCAGUGUAAUGAUUUGUAAAUUCUGUCAUACAGAUGUAGAAGUUGCUGAUUUGCAUACCGUAUAAAUCAGGAGUUGGGAAAAAGUAAAUAAAAUUCUUAGUGUAAUUUUGAUUCGGGAACACUCGCUUUAUACGCAGAGAAUGAGUCAGGAAAGAAAAGUCAAGGAGGGCUAAAUAUGCAGAGUGUGACUCAUGGAAGGCUGCAGGCUGUGCUGGUGUGAUUGAAAAGAAGCGUUCCUUUGUGACGAUGGACUGCAGUUAGUUGUCCACCCGUCACACAAAGAAAUAUUUCUCUUCGUGUCCAAGAAUAGACCGCGCUUUGCAGCGGCAGCUAACUUUAAAAAUAAAAUUUUCCCUCCGAUUACGGUGAUGCAAUUCGACCGAAUCCCGUUUCCAAAUGUAAAUUACAACGGGAGAGGAAACAACUCGGAGGUCACUAAUUGCCGACUCGGCCAUAAUUGUAUGCAUGUUGCUUCCUUUCUGAUGCAUUAUCCCUCGAUCGGCUGCUGCGUCGAUAGAAAAUGGUCGUUAUACUUGGAAAUUACACCCCCGCACUCCCCCGCCGAGCCAAACAUUACACUAGUUUCCAAUGUUUCCGUUUAUUUUGGAAAAUAAUGUCGGGCAUUAAAACUAAACGGGAGAACACCAAUCUUUUACUUCUACCCCACCGGAAUGGCUUUUUCUUUUCGACGAUUGUUUCGUCCCGUCGACCGUUAUUGGCCGUUUCCACCAUUGUCGCGUGCUUCCCCCUUUCCCCCUGGAUGGCUCUGACACGACGCGGAUGUCUACGGCCUCCCAGGGCUCGUUAGUUUUAAAUAUUAGCAUUCGCAAGAGUUUACGAGACUUUGGAGGUUUCUGCGCAGUUUCGGUGAUUAACUGGGGGUGAUUUUUGCGUAGCGCCGCACGGCGGCCGACCCCGCGCGCGGGUUGGCUGGGGGAUUUUCCAAUACCGUAAGUUUAAUUUCGUGUUUCGGUGCGAGUCUUGUUAUCUGGAGGUUUAUUUUUUUGAUGUCUGGUUGGCAACACUGCCCCGUUCCACCCGAGAAGACAUAUUUUACGAGUUUCAAAAAUGUGGGCCGGCUAAAAUUCGAAUCGCUUUUCUCGUUGAUAAGAGAACCGUGCUGCCCUGCGGGGAUUCCCCCUGUCCAAGGUUCAUUUUCGCUGCGAACAUAAAGUCCUCCGGGUUGCAAUCGUCGCUUAGAUUAUAAAAGUGCAACCCAGGCACGCUCUACUUGCUGUCACUCGACCAAAAGCGCUUGACUAAUGGCAGCUGGCAGGAUGAUUUUACAGUAUUUUAUCUGCCCCGUCACAAGACAUGGUUGAUAAGAAGUCUCCCCCCUUGCUAUCGGUUACGUUUGAACCAGUUCGGAGAGCGAGUGGCAUGUAGUGCAGUUCACCCGGGGCACCUCUCUUCUCUCUCUCCCCAGUCACGUUGAUGAGGAAAUGCUGCGAGGCUCGAGCGGUUCUUCCAAUUAUAGUUUUAUUAAUUAUGUCACCGUUGGCUCGACACAGUUUUUUAAGAGACAAUUCGCGCGGGAAAGAAGAACGGAACAUUCGCGCCUCGCGCGCGUAUUUCUCUACCCCCCGUUUUAGGUCAUAUCGUACUUUUCUCUGCGAGUACAGCUACGUUCGAAGACCCACAAACGGGCAACCAUGCACAAAAUUAAUUAAAUUUUCUCCAGUUUAUUUCGUUCGGAUCGACGGCUUUCCCAGCACGCACUUCGAUACGUAAUGAGUGGAAAUGAGUGCCCCGCAUAUAGCGAACUUUCGCUAAACAGGUCACGUUUACGGUUGAGAAUAUAUAAAUAUACGUAUUUUUCUUUAUUCUAAAGGAGGGAUUCCGUAUCGAGUGGUGUACUCUGGGAACGGUGUCGACUCGGCACGUGUUGCAAAUCCUAUUAAAUUUUGUCCCUCGGUUACGAUGCCGGUGGCGCUCGACCGUUCGACCCCUCAUUUGUUUCGUAAAAACGCUGGGUUUUACGUGGGGCGAAGGGAUUUCCUCCUUUAGGAAAACGUUACUAUUCGCUUAAUCGUGAAGACCCCCUGCGAAACCAGCUUAAUUUGAAGAAAUUGUUGUUUGUAUGGUCUGUAUAUUUAGAUUACUUCCCCGGGGAGCCAUAUGUUUUCGACAAACAAAACCUCCUAAGGCCUGGUCUCUCGCUGUUUUAAAAAUUCAGGUUUGUAUCGUUUUGCCCCUUUUGAAACAUCUCAUUAAUUAGGGAAGGCGUCGCGCGCUCCAAUUUGCAUUUCAUCGGCUUUAUGAAUAGAGGGUGAGAAAAUUCGGGACUGUGUCUUUACAAAACAAAGUUUUUAUUUAGGGCCCGGGCCCGUUCUCAUUCGUUCCGUUUUUAGAAAACACUGGAUUGGGUUACUCCCCCGCUUAGCAGUGACGCUCGUUAAUUGUCGAGGGGGGCAUACGUUACACUCGUUCGUAUUUUCGAGAAGUUUCUGGUUAUAGGGUGGAUACUAAAGUUCUCCCUUCCUCGAGAGGGUUUUUUUCCCCUAGAAACAAAGCCUCCCGAGGGUCUGGUCUCCAUUCCAUUUCCUCGACCGUAAUUACAGUUAGCUCCACCAAAAGAAGCUUUCACAGUAGGAUGGGUGGAAUGUGUUUUCUAGAUGGGAAGUGCGCACCUGCGGGGAUCCACGGGUGAAGUGCAACCAUCUCGUCUCUCAUUGGACAAUCGGCAAUGACGAUUAAUUCUAGACCAAUUGGUAAUGGCGUUAUUUAUUAAAGAGGAAAAACAGAAUGGUCGGGAACCCCAUUGUUUCCCGCUUUAAUAUCGGGGGGAGGAUUUUUUUCUGUAUCGGAAGCGACUCCCUCUCGGCAUCCCAUAAUUUCUUACAGGCUCGGCUGGAGUUGUCUGUAUGCAGCUGACGAUGCCGCCGUCAUCGAUUCUUUUGUGUAGUCAUCGUGUACCCCGUUGCUCCGAACUCCCGCUGUCGACUCUCGUUCGGGAGGGUAUCCCGUAGGGCAUUGUGGGACUGUCGCUUUUAUUAACCCUCCGAGAGGGGAGAGAGGAGAGCCACCAUACUGCAGACUUAAUACCCAGUCACUCUCGAUUUUAAAUUUUGUGCCCGCUUCCUCUCCCUCUCUCCACUCCUUUCUCUUCGUAAGCGUUGGUGCUGGCCACACAUCGUACUUCGCGCGCGAGACCGGUCUCGUCCCCAGUAUCCCAAGAUUUAAUACUCCUUUCUUCCCCUUGCCGGGGAGAAGAAAGUGGAAUUAAUGUUGUACCGGCGUAAUGACGAAGCGUGCUGUUUCUAGGACGAUUCAAAAUAUCUUUGGCAGGGUGAUUCUCGAAGAGAGUGAUGUCGAAACGAAUUGUGCUUAAAAUAUUCGCAGGGUUGAAUAGACAGUAGGAAUAAACAGCUGCCAGAGCAGAGGUUGGUUUCUAAGCUCCCCAGUAGUCACGUGACCGGCAUUUGUUCUCGCUUACCCCCGAGUUUGAAUCGAGAACUGGCAAGUUUGAGGGUCUUUCGUCUUCCAAAUUACCGCUUGCACGAGGAAAAACACGUGCCAACGGAUGGAAUCUUAUUCUGGUCUUCAUUUUUAUGAUCCCGUGCCCUAAAUGAUACUAAUAAGGCGUUUUUUAAUUCGUUCCUAAUAAUCGGCUCAAUGCGUGUAUCUAUCGUGUGACACGAAAAAAUAACCUGGGUCGUUAAGGGUUGCUGUGUCCUACUGUCCUCGUUAACCUCUUCCACGUUACUUGGGAACGACAUUAUUGUCACAUUUCCCGAGUGUACGGAUUCGAGUAGAGGUAGAACCGUAUCGAAUGAGACUUUUUACCCUUUCCGCGCUGUCACGUGACGCGGGAACUUUAUUCCGUUUACUUAGCAGUGGGGGGAGGUCGUAGCGGUUUCACCUGUUGACGAACUUUGAUCGGUUCCUUCUACGUUACACAAGUUGAUGGCAUCGCUUUGCUGUUGUGCAGUACGCCUCGGUUUUAUCCUUUAUUCCUUAAGAAUUCCUUUUGGUGGAAAUUAAGGUGGAAAGGCUACAACGCGGACACGUUUUCGUGCCGGAAUCUUCCCGAGAAAAACCACCCUCCUCCGAAUGCACGCAGACGUGAGCGACUAAUGAAUGUUUACCGAAUGAAAUUCUGCAACGCGUACAUUUUUAAUUGUUACAAUUCGCGUCCGGGCUGGUGUUUGCGGCGAAAUUACAAUAAUUUGCAGUCGGCGCGCGCGCGCGAGCACAACCCCUUCCCGCCCGCGUGUGUUUACAACUAUUCGGUCGGAAUUCCGAGUUUAAUUAGGUGUGGAAUCUGCACUUCGCCCAUUUGCAUACGACGUGCGCGCCUUCGGAGUCGGGAAGGAGCCCAUCCCGUCGCCAUUUUUGCGUGACGCGGCGGCGCCGACAUCACGUGAUCGGCUCCCGAGGCACGGAGCGUUAUCGGUCAAGCGCCGUCCACCCCUGACAGGCGGAAAUUAGAAGAGAAACCCCCUUUCAUCCUUUAGGAGGGGACGUGCAGCUGCACACGGUUGACGUAUCUGCGUUCCUCCCCCUGCAGUAUGUGUUUGUGUGUGCCGGUGCGUGUUUCCAGCAGCGCUGUCGUUUUUAAAGAGUUGUUUUCCAGCUGCACAGAUUAAUGGGAGCCGGGAAGAAUCCUUACGACGUCGUUAAGUCGGAGCGCGGGUGCCACAGUUGUUUCCAAACGGGUGCGAAGCGUGCGCGGACGUCACGCCAUCUGUUCACGCUUUCUAAUGAACACUUCAGUCUUUCCCUGAGAGAGAGAAAGGGGGGACGUGUCCAUCGAUUGACGUAGCUGCCGGGGGAACACAUAAGUGGCCUUUUAAUCUGUCCCGCUCUCCCUCUGCGGAGCAGUCGGUGCCACCUCUCCUCCUCACUUCACAUACACGUGUGUGUGUGUGCCGUGCGUGCAUGUGGCCAAGACAGAUGUAUGGAUUCGGCCAUUCCUCUUGUUAAGUGUCUUUGUCUGCCGGUCCAUCUAUGUGUGUGCGCGUCUGCCUUCUGAUCUGCCGUGGAUUAUAGACCGUGCGCCAUGGAAAUUCCCAUCCAGGGAGAUAUUGGGAUGCUUGAUAAAGUGCAUUAUCUACAAUCACAUAGAGGCGUCAGUAGUACAUCCUUCGAAGGGUGCAGAAAGAGAAAGCUGGAUGACCUAAAUUGUAUGGAAUAUGGAAAUCCAAAUCAGGUCAGUGAUAUCUCAUCAACCAGUGGUGUCUUGGGUGAUAAUGGAAACAGUGCAGUGAACUAUGUUGUAGACCACAAUCAGUGUAAUAGUAUUGUUCCAUAUGCCGUAUCGUCAUCUAACAGUAUUUCGUAUGGUCAACGAAAUGUUGCUAAGAGUACCGCUCCUUCAUCCACUCAGGUUAUUCCCUCACAGAACUUCAUUCGUGCUUCGACGAUCAAGCUGCUCGAUACCUAUCAGGUAGGGAAUUGUUUAAUAUUGCGGAGAGAUUUUUAUUAUUAGCGUAAUAACUAGAAGUCGAGAGCAUGGCCGUAAAACUCUGCGUUUCUAAAAUUA